GGCCGGCGACGGCGACCGCCGAGCAGGGAGAGGAGCCACCUUUGGUCGAAGUCGUGACAGUGUGUGUGUGUGUGUGUGUGCGCACGUUCAAGCAUUUUGCGUUUGGUUGUAUUUGUGUGCGUGCGUUCAGGCAUUUUGCUUCUGGUUGUGUGUCUGCGCAUGUUCAGGCAUUUUGCUUCUGGUUGUGUGUGCGCGUGUUCAGGCAAAAUGCACAUCUAACCAAGCUUGCAAAGUCAGGUUACCUCUAUUAAAAAAGACUGCUCUAAUAGCAAGUCCUGUAGAUGCCCAACUAGAACACGCACCGUGUUCUCAUCCAACACUAGAGACUUGGUCUUUUUUAUAUAAUGCAUUAUUGUGGUCCAGAUGUGAUGAAUAAAACAAUUUAAAAAAGGAAAAUUAGGCCCUCCGAGAAUCUACCCCCCCACUGCUGUUUUGGUGCAUAACAUCAUAGGCAUGCUGACUAGUACCAGGCGUACUGUUUUGGUGCAUAACAUCAUAGGCAUG
rnacentral:lncRNA from 1 species